rnacentral:rRNA from 1 species
AGUGAACGCUGGCGGUAGGCCUAACACAUGCAAGUCGAACGGCAGCACAGUAAGAGCUUGCUCUUACGGGUGGCGAGUGGCGGACGGGUGAGGAAUACAUCGGAAUCUACUUUUUCGUGGGGGAUAACGUAGGGAAACUUACGCUAAUACCGCAUACGACCUACGGGUGAAAGCAGGGGAUCUUCGGACCUUGCGCGAUUGAAUGAGCCGAUGUCGGAUUAGCUAGUUGGCGGGGUAAAGGCCCACCAAGGCGACGAUCCGUAGCUGGUCUGAGAGGAUGAUCGGCCACAAGGGAACUGGGACACGGUCCAGACUCCUACGGGAGGCAGCAGUGGGGAAUAUUGGACAAUGGGCGCAAGCCUGAUCCAGCCAUACCGCGUGGGUGAAGAAGGCCUUCGGGUUGUAAAGCCCUUUUGUUGGGAAAGAAAAGCAGCAGGUUAAUACCCCGCUGUUCGGACGGUACCCAAAGAAUAAGCACCGGCUAACUUCGU